GAUGAACGCUGGCGGCGUGCCUAACACAUGCAAGUCGAACGAACCUGAUCUUCGGAAAAGGUUAGUGGCGCACGGGUGAGUAACACGUAGGUGACCUGCCCUGGAGUGGGGGAUAACUUCUCGACAGAGAGGCUAAUACCGCAUACGCUCGGCCAUUCAGUUGGUCGAGUAAAGCUCCGGCGCUCCAGGGGGGGCCUGCGUCCGAUUAGCUAGUUGGUGAGGUAAUGGCUCACCAAGGCGAUGAUCGGUAGCUGGUCUGAGAGGACGAUCAGCCACACUGGCACUGACACACGGGCCAGACUCCUACGGGAGGCAGCAGUGAGGAAUAUUGGUCAAUGGGCGAAAGCCUGAACCAGCAACGCCGCGUGAGGGAUGAAGGCCUUCGGGUCGUAAACCUCUUUUCUGGGAGAAGAGACAAGGACGGUAUCCCAGGAAUAAGUCUCGGCUAACUACGUGCCAGCCGCCGCGGUAACAC
rnacentral:rRNA from 1 species